UACGUAGGUGGCAAGCGUUGUCCGGAUUUACUGGGUGUAAAGGGCGUGUAGGCGGGGAAUUAAGUCAGAUGUGAAAGCCCAUGGCUCAACCAUGGGACUGCAUCUGAAACUGAUUCUCUUGAGUACUGGAGAGGAAAGUGGAAUUCCUAGUGUAGCGGUGAAAUGCGUAGAUAUUAGGAGGAACACCAGUGGCGAAGGCGACUUUCUGGACAGUAACUGACGCUGAGGCGCGAAAGUGUGGGGAGCAAACAGG
rnacentral:rRNA from 1 species